rnacentral:rRNA from 1 species
UACGUAGGGGGCAAGCGUUUGUCCGGAUUUAUUGGGCGUAAAGAGCGUGUAGGCGGCUUUACAGGUCCGUUGUGAAAACUCGAGGCUUAACCUCGAGAUGUCGGCGGAAACCAUCUGGCUAGAGUCCGGAAGAGGAGAGUGGAAUUCCUGGUGUAGCGGUGAAAUGCGCAGAUAUCAGGAGGAACACCGAUGGCGAAGGCAGGUCUCUGGGCAUUAACUGACGCUGAGGAGCGAAAGCAUGGGGAGCGAACAGG